AACGCGAAGAACCUUACCUACUCUUGACAUCCAUAGAAUCCUGCAGAGAUGUGGGAGUGCCGAAAGGAAUUAUGAGACAGGUGCUGCAUGGCUGUCGUCAGCUCGUGUUGUGAGAUGUUGGGUUAAGUCCCGUAACGAGCGCAACCCUUAUCCUUAGUUGCCAACAUGUAAUGGUGGGGACUCUAAGGAGACUGCUGGUGAUGAACCGGAGGAAGGCGGGGACGACGUCAAGUCAUCAUGGCCUUUAUGAGUAGGGCUACACACGUGCUACAAUGGGCAGUACAGAGGGCAGCCAACCCGCGAGGGGGAGCCAAUCCCGAAAAGCUGUUCGUAGUCCGGAUCGGAGUCUGCAACUCGACUCCGUGAAGUCGGAAUCGCUAGUAAUCGCGAAUCAGAAUGUCGCGGUGAAUACGUUCCCGGGCCUUGUACACACCGACGCGUA
rnacentral:rRNA from 1 species